rnacentral:tRNA from 1 species
ACAAAGAUGCCAGAAAUUUAUGGGGUUGAUUUUAGGUUUAAUUUAUGGUUUAUUACCUCUUUGUU